rnacentral:rRNA from 1 species
CCUUUGACGUUAGCGGCGGACGGGUGAGUAACACGUGGGUAACCUACCUAUAAGACUGGGAUAACUUCGGGAAACCGGAGCUAAUACCGGAUAAUAUUUCGAACCGCAUGGUUCGAUAGUGAAAGAUGGUUUUGCUAUCACUUAUAGAUGGACCUGCGCCGUAUUAGCUAGUUGGUAAGGUAACGGCUUACCAAGGCGACGAUACGUAGCCGACCUUAGAGGGUGAUCGGCCACACUGGAACUGAGACACGGUCCAGACUCCUACGGGAGGCAGCAGGC